rnacentral:rRNA from 1 species
AUUGAACGCUGGCGGCAUGCUUUACACAUGCAAGUCGAACGGCAGCACGGGCUUCGGCCUGGUGGCGAGUGGCGAACGGGUGAGUAAUAUAUCGGAACGUACCCAGAAGUGGGGGAUAACGUAGCGAAAGUUACGCUAAUACCGCAUACGAUCUAUGGAUGAAAGCAGGGGACCGCAAGGCCUUGUGCUCCUGGAGCGGCCGAUAUCUGAUUAGCUAGUUGGUGAGGUAAAGGCUCACCAAGGCGACGAUCAGUAGCUGGUCUGAGAGGACGACCAGCCACACUCGAACUGAGACACGGUCCAGACUCCUACGGGAGGCAGCAGUGGGGAAUUUUGGACAAUGGGCGCAAGCCUGAUCCAGCAAUGCCGCGUGAGUGAAGAAGGCCUUCGGGUUGUAAAGCUCUUUUGUCAGGGAAGAAACGGUAGAGGCUAAUAUCCUUUGCUAAUGACGGUACCUGAAGAAUAAGCACCGGCUAACUACGUG